AACUAACGCUGGCGGCGUGCCUAACACAUGCAAGUCGUACGAGAAAGCCGGCUUCGGCUGGUGAGUAAAGUGGCGCACGGGUGAGUAACGCGUGGAUAAUCUGCCCUUAAGUGUGGAAUAACGUACCGAAAGGUGCGCUAAUACCGCAUAAUGCCUGGCAACACAAGUUGUCCGGCCAAAGAAGGCCUCUGUUUACAAGCUUUCGCUUCAGGAUGAGUCCGCGUACCAUUAGCUUGUUGGUGGGGUAAUGGCCUACCAAGGCUGCGAUGGUUAGCUGGUCUGAGAGGAUGAUCAGCCACACUGGAACUGAGACACGGUCCAGACUCCUACGGGAGGCAGCAGUGGGGAAUAUUGCACAAUGGGCGAAAGCCUGAUGCAGCAACGCCGCGUGAGUGAUGAAGGCCUUCGGGUCGUAAGGUACUCUUUGUAUCAGGGAGUGAUAAUAGUACAGUAACCUAGAAAAACAAACGACCAACCGGACCGUAACUACGUACGCCACG
rnacentral:rRNA from 1 species